rnacentral:misc_RNA from 1 species
UACGAACUGCGCAAACGUUACUCGGAAUUACUGGGCGUAAAGCGCGCGUAGGUGGUUUGUUAAGUUGGAUGUGAAAGCCCCGGGCUCAACCUGGGAACUGCAUCCAAAACUGGCAAGCUAGAGUACGGUAGAGGGUGGUGGAAUUUCCUGUGUAGCGGUGAAAUGCGUAGAUAUAGGAAGGAACACCAGUGGCGAAGGCGACCAACUGGACUGAUACUGACACUGAGGUGCGAAAGCGUGGGGAGCAAACAGG